GUCACCAUUGAUACUUCCCGGAUUGUAGCCUGAUCAUAUUGGCUCUCAGAAGCUAAGCAGGGCCUGGCCUGGGCUGUACUGGAAUGGAAGACCUCUAAAUAAAACCAGGUUACUACUGUAA
rnacentral:rRNA from 1 species